GCGCACGCAGGCGGUCUGUUAAGUUGGAUGUGAAAUCCCCGGGCUUAACCUGGGAACUGCAUUCAAAACUGACAGGCUAGAGUCUCGUAGAGGGGGGUAGAAUUCCAGGUGUAGCGGUGAAAUGCGUAGAGAUCUGGAGGAAUACCGGUGGCGAAGGCGGCCCCCUGGACGAAGACUGACGCUCAGGUGCGAAAGCGUGGGGAGCAAACAGGAUUAGAUACCCUGGUAGUCCACGCUGUAAACGAUGUCGACUUGGAGGUUGUGCCCUUGAGGCGUGGCUUCCGGAGCUAACGCGUUAAGUCGACCGCCUGGGGAGUACGGCCGCAAGGUUAAAACUCAAAUGAAUUGACGGGGGCCCGCACAAGCGGUGGAGCAUGUGGUUUAAUUCGAUGCAACGCGAAGAACCUUACCUACUCUUGACAUCCAGAGAAUUUGGCAGAGAUGCCUUAGUGCCUUCGGGAGCUCUGAGACAGGUGCUGCAUGGCUGUCGUCAGCUCGUGUUGUGAAAUGUUGGGUUAAGUCCCGCAACGAGCGCUACCCUUAUCCUUUGUUGCC
rnacentral:rRNA from 1 species